rnacentral:ncRNA from 1 species
AAAGACUUAGUCCUAACCUUACUGUUGGUUUUUGCUAGACAUAUACAUGCGAGUAUCCGCGCCCCAGUGAAGAAGCCCUAGUCACCCUUUAACAAAAAGUCGACAGGAGCGGGCAUCAGGCACACCCACCCAACUGGUAGCCCAAGACGCCUUGCACCCGCCACACCCCCACGGGUAUUCAGCAGUAGUUAACAUUAAGCAAUGAGUGUAAACUUGACUUAGUCAUAGCAAAUUAGGGUUGGUAAAUCCUGUGCCAGCCACCGCGGUCAUACAGGAGACCCAAAUCAACAUUAUCCCCAAAACGGCGUAAAGAGUGGUCACAUGCUAUCCAAGUAACUAAGAUUAAAAUGCAACUGAGCCGUCACAAGCCCAAGAUGCCCAUAAGGCCUACUACCAAAGAAGAUCUUAGACUAACGAUUAAUUGAAAUCCACGAAAGCCAGGGCCCAAACUGGGAUUAGAUACCCCACUAUGCCUGGCCCUAAAUCUUGGUGCUUCAUACUACCUAAGCAUCCGCCCGAGAACUACGAGCACAAACGCUUAAAACUCUAAGGACUUGGCGGUGCCUCAAACCCAUCUAGAGGAGCCUGUUCUACAAUCGAUGAUCCACGCUACACCUUACCAUUCCUUGCCAAGUCAGCCUACAUACCGCCGUCCUCAGCCCACCCACCUGAAGGAACAACAGUGAGCGCAAUAGUCCAACCACACUAGUAAGACAGGUCAAGGUAUAGCCCAUGGAAUGGGAGUAAUGGGCUACAUUUUCUAGGAUAGAACAUCACGGCAAAGGGACCUGAAACGGUCCUUGGAAGGCGGAUUUAGCAGUAAAGUGGGACAAUCGAGCCCUCUUUAAACCGGCUCUGGGGCACGUACAUACCGCCCGUCACCCUCCUCAAAAGCGACCAAAAACCCAAAAUAACUAAUAAGCUAUCAAGCUAAAGAGGAGGCAAGUCGUAACAAGGUAAGUGUACCGGAAGGUGCACUUAGAUAAU